UAACACGUGACUAACCUGCCUUACAGUGGGGGAUAACUUCGGGAAACCGAAGCUAAUACCGCAUAACAUCCUGGGGCUGCAAUGCCUUUGGAUCAAAGGAGCAAUUCGCUGAAAGAGGGGGCCGCGGUAGAUUAGCUAGUUGGUGAGGUAAUGGCUCACCAAGGCUAUGAUCUAUAGCCGGCCUGAGAGGGCGCACGGCCACACUGGAACUGAAACACGGUCCAG
rnacentral:rRNA from 1 species